CACGUAGGGCGCGAGCGUUGUCCGGAAUUAUUGGGCGUAAAGAGCUCGUAGGCGGCCUGUUGCGUCCGCUGUGAAAGCCCGGGGCUUAACCCCGGGUCGGCAGUGGAUACGGGCAGGCUAGAGGUAGGUAGGGGAGAAUGGAAUUCCCGGUGUAGCGGUGAAAUGCGUAGAGAUCCGGAAGAACACCGGUGGCGAAGGCGGUCUGCUGGGCAGUUGCUGACACUGAGGCGCGACAGCGUGGGGAGCAAACAGG
rnacentral:rRNA from 1 species